CUAAAGAGGAGGAAGGAAUGGGCAACGGUAGGUCAGCAUGCCCCGAAUUAUCUGGGCUACACGCGGGCUACAAUGGGUGGGACAAUGGGUAUCGACACCGAAAGGUGAAGGCAAUCUCCUAAACCCAUCCGUAGUUCGGAUUGUGGGCUGCAACUCGCCCACAUGAAGCUGGAAUCUGUAGUAAUCGUGUCUCAAAAUGGCACGGUGAAUAUGUCCCUGCUCCUU
rnacentral:rRNA from 1 species